rnacentral:tRNA from 1 species
GCCGCCGUAGCUAAGCCCGGUAUAGCGGCGGGCUGCAGACCCGUAGCCGGUAGCCGGCGGAGGUCCCGGGUUCGAAUCCCGGCGGCGGCU